rnacentral:rRNA from 1 species
GACGAACGCUGGCGGCGUGCUUAACACAUGCAAGUCGAACGGAAAGGCCCUGCUUUUGUGGGGUGCUCGAGUGGCGAACGGGUGAGUAACACGUGAGUAACCUGCCCUUGACUUUGGGAUAACUUCAGGAAACUGGGGCUAAUACCGGAUAGGAGCUCCUGCUGCAUGGUGGGGGUUGGAAAGUUUCGGCGGUUGGGGAUGGACUCGCGGCUUAUCAGCUUGUUGGUGGGGUAGUGGCUUACCAAGGCUUUGACGGGUAGCCGGCCUGAGAGGGUGACCGGCCACAUUGGGACUGAGAUACGGCCCAGACUCCUACGGGAGGCAGCAGGGGGGAAUAUUGCACAAGGGGCGGAAGCCUGAGGCAGCAACGCCGCGGGGGGGAUGACGGCCUUGGGGUUGUAAACCGCUUUCGCCUGGGACGAAGCGUGAGUGACGGUAAUGGGUAAAGAAGCACCGGCUAACUACGU